rnacentral:rRNA from 1 species
AUUGAACGCUGGCGGCAGGCCUAACACAUGCAAGUCGAGCGGUAGAGAGGUGCUUGCAUCUCUUGAGAGCGGCGGACGGGUGAGUAAUGCCUAGGAAUCUGCCUAGUGGUGGGGGAUAACGUUCGGAAACGGACGCUAAUACCGCAUACGUCCUACGGGAGAAAGCGGGGGAUCUUCGGACCUCGCGCCAUUAGAUGAGCCUAGGUCGGAUUAGCUAGUUGGUGAGGUAAUGGCUCACCAAGGCGACGAUCCGUAACUGGGUCUGAGAGGAUGAUCAGUCACACUGGAACUGAGGCACGGUCCAGACUCCUACGGGAGGCAGCAGUGGGGAAUAUUGGACAAUGGGCGAAAGCCUGAUCCAGCCAUGCCGCGUGUGUGAAGAAGGUCUUCGGAUUGUAAACUGCUUUUGUACGGAACGAAACGGUGAGCUCUAAUACAGUUUGCUAAUGACGGUACCGUAAGAAUAAGCACCGGCUAACUACGUG